AUUGAACGCUGGCGGCAGGCCUAACACAUGCAAGUCGAACGAGUGGCGGACGGGUGAGUAAUGUCUGGGAAACUGCCUGAUGGAGGGGGAUAACUACUGGAAACGGUAGCUAAUACCGCAUACCAUCGGAUGUGCCCAAGUGGGAUUAGCUAGUUGGUGGGGUAACGGCUCACCAAGGCGACGAUCCCUAGCUGGUCUGAGAGGAUGACCAGCCAAACUGGAACUGAGACACGGCCCAGACUCCUACGGGAGGCAGCAGUGGGGAAUAUUGCACAAUGGGCGCAAGCCUGACGCAGCCAUGCCGCGUGUAUGAAGAAGGCCUUCGGGUUGUAAAGUACUUUCGGCGGGGAGGCGUUACCCGCAGAAGAAGCACCGGCUAACUCCGUGCCAGCAGCCGCGGUAAUAC
rnacentral:rRNA from 1 species